rnacentral:rRNA from 1 species
GGCUGCGCUCUGCGCGUGAGACGAAAGCGUGGCUCGUCGUCGGCGUAGGCAGGUGUUGGGCCGCAGCUGUGCUGUGCUACCGCAUGAGGCCGCUAGCGGCCGGGAGGGGCGGCGGCGGGGGCGUCGGCGUGCGCUGGGAGAGGAUGGAGAGGGGCAGGCGCCGCGGGAAGUGGCAGCCAGCAUGGGCGCCCCGGCGCUGGGGGCUAGGCCAGGGGUUGCGGGGGCGAUUGGGAUCGGGGAUGGGGCUGGAGGGGUGGCGCGGCAGCGACAUGCUGAGGACCCAGCUCGGAGGGCGCUCGAUGUACCUAGACCUCCGGCCGCGUCGCCGGCCCAUGGCUCCAAAACGAUUAAGACUACCCAAAGACCAAAGACUCUUAUGUGUGUUACCGAAUAUGUGACCCUUAGUAAAACCAUGGUGGCACGUCGUCGGUGUAGGGAAGUGUUGUACGUCGAGGCUCACCUACCUUCUCUUCAUAGGACCUUAAAUGGUUUCUUGCAGUUUCCGGGAGGGUUCACUAAAACCCAGUAGUCAAUAGGUAGUCGGAAGACCCAGAGGAUUGUACAAACGAACGAAUCUAUUUUUUGGGACAAGGUGUGGAGUCGGGCACUUAGUCGUAAGGGGCAUAAGACGAAUACUAUUGAUGUGCCGUGUAGAAGGUAGUAGGAGUUGUAUAGGUAACCUAAUGUUGGACAGGUACGGUGGACAAAGACGGAGUGGACUUCAUACGCGAUGUUGUUUUAGUAACAGUGGGUGUUGUCUACCGGUAUAUAACCUUUCACGUAAAAGGAGUGGUAUAUAUUUGGGAACGUCUAAUUUAGAACUAAUAAAACUGAGGUACGUCUUACUUGUCUUUCUGGAGAAACCUGUAGUCUGACGAAUAUUUGUAAUACCACUGACCUCAUUGAGACUGUUACCAUGCUCUUAUUACCCUUCGAUAGGUGAAUCAUCUGCACCUCAACCUCUCUUGAUAGGAAACCCACUCUCAAGUCUUUGACCCUCCGGACACGUCGGUCCUUGGAUAGGUGAAUUGUCUGUACCUCAACCUCUCUUGAUAGAAAGUCCACUGUGAAGACUUAGACCCUCUGGACACGUCGGAAGUAGUCUUCACUUCAGACCAAAGUUCUCGAAUGUUCGUAGUACAAGGUUAUAGAGAGGAAGUCUUGUACGUAAAAGAGUCGGAGCACUGGAAAAGUAACUCGGUGAACUUCAUUUAUUAGGACAACAACUAAGAGGAACAACCUUUCCCUGUGGUUGACAUGAGUUCAGUAGUAAACCACACUUUUUACUACUUCGAGGAAAAAGACGAUUACCGAGUCCACUGGAGGUACUAAACGUGGUUUCGUUCUUCGAAAGACUCAAACCAUGUUCAUUAAGACACAAUAAAGGGUUCACAGUACUGUGUAGUUUAGUGCUCUCACUAAGCACAGAUGGAAUGAUGCAUUUAACAGAAAGAAGUAAGUCAGACGGAAGUCCCACAUUUUUUAGACUUCCAGUAUCACUACGUGUUGGUAGGUAACAACCACUAAAGCUACCAUACCGAUCCAGAUCGGUGGGAUCAAUACAUAGACAUCUAGUUCCGUGGUCUUCUCUUUUGGUACACUAGACAUUCUGUCCUCUGUUAAGGCUUUUACCUCAUUGUGGUCCAGUUGUCCCUCCACAAAAAGAACCGUUUUCUUGUAAACUUGGGUAUCACAAUCCGUCUCUGAAGCGGUCAGUACAACACCCGUACUUACUUCUAAGACCAUUCUUUCAAAGUUCGUUACAACUACGUCGAGGUUAACGUUUCCAAUCCUCAAAUUGUUUUCUUUCAGAUGUUCCUUUAUGAACACAGGUAUUUCGACACCGUUGUAACCUUCCAGACAUGAGCCUCUACGGACACUUCUUUCCAGACCUCGUAAAUAGGGUAACGUCACGACCACAACUCCUCAACCACUUCUAUAGAAGUCUAUUUCAAUGGGCGUCUAGGUUCUGAGUUCUUCUGAAUUAGUUCAGUUAAAUAUUAUAGAGUCAUCACGAAGAUAGAUGAACGCUACCACCAAUACUCAACCUCCUUAGACUUGUACGUGAACAAGUUAGAUGUUAUGUGUUAGAGUCAAGAAACUCAAGGUUCUAUUCGUUCCGACGUAAUUUUUUACUACUACAGUUACCUUUGACGACGGUUUGUUUAUGUUCCACGGUACCUUUCUUAGUAGUCGGACUCUUCAAACUACCUGAACUGACCCUCUUGUAACCACGUCUAAAAUCUCGAAAAUAAAACCUCCUAGAAUGAUUUGAAGGUCUUCUCUUACAGUAACCACUAUGAUUUCUACGUGUUUACGACUAUAUAUUCUUAGAUACCUAACUUCGACUUCGAAGGUACACAUUUGAGUUCAUACUUGACGUUGAACGGGCGUACUUUGAACGCUGUUUUGUAACGUUAGUCGUUUGUCGACGUCGUGGACGGCUAAGUAAUCCUCUUCGGUUUCGGAGAUUGGACGGGUUUGUGUUCUUGAGACAUACAAAACUUCCCUAACGACCAAGAUCGUUUGUUGUUUUGGUACACUUUCUCGCGUUAUAGCCGUUACGUCGGAACGAUGGAGUCCCUCCACUAUUCCAACUACGACUACAGAAACGAGCUGACUUUCAAGACUUCGAGGCACUACUCUCAUAUUUAACGAGGGCAGUCCAGUUACGACUCGACGUCUUCCCUUGUUCAUUAAUAUUGUCCUGUCUACAACAACUACUGUGACAAAAACUAUUACGACAACUGCUAUCCUAUUGAAGAAAUCACCUCCUGUAGUAGUUUCUCGCAAGUCUUCGUUCGUCGUCACUUCCACCACUUCGACUACCACGAUGGUAACGACGUGAAUUGCUAAAGUGUUCGACAUUGUUGUUAUGUUCGGGUAACCUACUCCUGUGGUUGUAUCUCGUCAAUCUUAGAUCACUUUCGUUUUAGGUACCGCGAAAAUACCGAUUCGAGUUUCUAAACUACAAGACAUCACUACUACAUUCAAGUAGUUUGCUCCCGUUACGAGUAGUCGAGGUUUGUCGUUCGUUCUUACUUAAGCCAGUCGAACUUCUGCACCAAUACCGGUCCGACGUUCAGGACUUUUCCGCACUUCCAUUGUUAUCGUCGCGACACUUGCUACCUGUUCUCCGAAAGGUAAGACUACUAACCCGCCCAGUGAAACUUUGUUUUGUAAAGCCAGCUCCCCGCGUACUACUCGAUCAGGUCUUUUGACUAAACGGACUGCUACGACCCAGGUCCCGGGUUAGACUACUUCACCUAUCGUUUUGACGGUCGGUCAUGCAGUCACGUAACGAACUUCUCAGAGGAUAACAGAGUCGUGGUCGCCUUGGACGUUCACGCGUUUACGUACUGCUCGUCGAUUCGUUGAGUGGGGGCCUUACCCUCGUACACGACUUCCUCCUGAAGAAGGAGGGUCCUUUGGUAAACUUCACUUUCCGUAGACCGGCGGAACUAAGCGUUUGGAACACACACAACAUAUAUAUACAAAAUUGAAUCGUCAUACGCUCGGCCUCUAACACUGUAUUUAACGUCAUAGUUGGCAGCAUCAUGCACUACCGAUUUUGACUUCGAAAUAAUACUCAUCUUUUAUUAGAGUUGAGUACCGAGUAUGACUCGAAAGACAUUUAUACGCGACACGCACGCAGGAUAGAGCAACAUACGAAACUUUCCAGGCAGUACGUGUAAUGAACUCUGGAUAUAUAUAAUAACAUUGUACAUUAUGUACAUAUACACGAUACUCAUGUAUGACAAGGAAAACUAAUACAAAGGCC